rnacentral:rRNA from 1 species
GUGGGGAAUAUUGGACAAUGGGCGAAAGCCUGAUCCAGCCAUGCCGCGUGUGUGAAGAAGGUCUUCGGAUUGUAAAGCACUUUAAGUUGGGAGGAAGGGCAGUAAGUUAAUACCUUGCUGUUUUGACGUUACCGACAGAAUAAGCACCGGCUAACUUCGUGCCAGCAGCCGCGGUAAUACGAAGGGUGCAAGCGUUAAUCGGAAUUACUGGGCGUAAAGCGCGCGUAGGUGGUUUUGUAAGUUGGAGGUGAAAUCCCCGGGCUCAACCUGGGAACUGCCUCCAAAACUGCAUGACUAGAGUACGGUAGAGGGUAGUGGAAUUACCUGUGUAGCGGUGAAAUGCGUAGAUAUAGGAAGGAACACCAGUGGCGAAGGCGACUACCUGGACUGAUACUGACACUGAGGUGCGAAAGCGUGGGGAGCAAACAGGAUUAGAAACCCGUGUAGUCC